rnacentral:rRNA from 1 species
AUUGAACGCUGGCGGCAUGCUUUACACAUACAAGUCGAACGGUAACAGGUUAAGCUGACGAGUGGCGAACGGGUGAGUAAUGCAUCGGAACGUGCCCGGUCAUGGGGGAUAACGCAGCGAAAGCUGCGCUAAUACCGCAUACGAUCUGAGGAUGAAAGCGGGGGACCGUAAGGCCUCGCGCGAUCGGAGCGGCCGAUGUCAGAUUAGGUAGUUGGUGGGGUAAAGGCUCACCAAGCCAACGAUCUGUAGCUGGUCUGAGAGGACGACCAGCCACACUGGGACUGAGACACGGCCCAGACUCCUACGGGAGGCAGCAGUGGGGAAUUUUGGACAAUGGGCGAAAGCCUGAUCCAGCAAUGCCGCGUGCAGGAAGAAGGCCUUCGGGUUGUAAACUGCUUUUGUACGGAGCGAAAAGGUCUCCUCUAAUACAGGGGGCUCAUGACGGUACCGUAAGAAUAAGCACCGGCUAACUACGUGCCAGCAGCAGCCGCGG